AUACGGGGGGUGCAAGCGUUGUCCGGAUUUAUUGGGCGUAAAGGGCUCGUAGGCGGGACUGUAAGUCUGGCGUGAAAUCUCAUGGCUCAACCAUGAAACUGCGCUGGAAACUACAGUUCUUGAAUUGCGAAGAGGAAGACGGAAUUCCUGGUGUAGCGGUGGAAUGCGUAGAUAUCAGGAAGAACACCCCUGGCGAAGGCAGUCUUCUGGUCGCUGAUUGGCGCUGAGGAGCGAAAGUGUGGGGAGCGCACAGGAUUAGAAACCCCAGUAGUCC
rnacentral:rRNA from 1 species